rnacentral:rRNA from 1 species
AAUGGGCGCAAGCCUGAUGCAGCGACGCCGCGUGGGGGAUGACGGCCUUCGGGUUGUAAACCUCUUUCGUCAGGGAAGAAGCCUUUUUGGGGUGACGGUACCUGGAGAAGAAGCACCGGCUAACUACGUGCCAGCAGCCGCGGUAAUACGUAGGGUGCGAGCGUUGUCCGGAAUUAUUGGGCGUAAAGAGCUUGUAGGCGGUUUGUCGCGUCUGCGGUGAAAACCCGGGGCUUAACCUUGGGCGUGCCGUGGGUACGGGCAGGCUAGAGUGUGGUAGGGGAGACUGGAAUUCCUGGUGUAGCGGUGAAAUGCGCAGAUAUCAGGAGGAACACCGAUGGCGAAGGCAGGUCUCUGGGCCAUAACUGACGCUGAGAAGCGAAAGCAUGGGGAGCGAA